GGGCGAUUAGUCAAAUGGUUACGAUACGUGACUGUCUAUCACGGGGAAUGAGUUCGAUUCUCAUAUCGCUCG
rnacentral:tRNA from 1 species